rfam:Lysinibacillus macroides strain DSM 54 Scaffold2, whole genome shotgun sequence.
AGUGAUGAUAGAGGUGCAAGGUUCAAAAGUAACGCGAUUGAGGAUGAACAAAUCCAAGGAUAUUGUGUGAAAGGGGAGCUUGCCGAAGUACAGCAUUGUUGUUUCCAUUGUUGUACUGGUUUUGCAUUUAAGAGAUGUAAGACUGUCGAUUCUAAACGUUUCGGAGAGCUAUCACACAU